CUGGGGUCUUUUGGAUUUCCAUAUGGAUUUUUUUUUCUAUUUCUGUGAAGAAUGCCAUUAGUAUUUUGGUGGAAGGUCCCUGGAACAACUGCUGGAAUGAGGCUCCAGAGUGGAAGGUGGAAGCUCCUUCUUGGGAUAAAGGAUCCAGAGCUUUAAAAAAAAAAAAAAGAGGUUGGAGGGUGCUCAUUGUGACGAGUACAGAAGAGGAUUAGCAUGCUCCUCAAUUUUCCUGUCCAAGGCUCAAAGGAGGUGGCCCAAGCGUGUCUGAGAGCUUUUUCCAUGUAUUGUCUCUGUGGACUCCUUACCUUUAAGUACGUUUCUCCUCUCACUUCAUACAGGAACUGGCACUCAGUUCUCUUCAGAAUGGCUAUGGUGGAGCCACUCACAUGAAUUCUCAAAGCUGGACAUGCAAAAUAGAUAAAUAAAAAUCUCAGCCAUUACAUGGCCUAUUUGUUUUCCAUUGAUUCACGAUAUCAACAAUACCUGAGAUAAGAAUCCUAAAUCAAGAAGAAACAAUUGUGGCUAUUUUAAUGAAAGAACACUUAAAAAUAACAUCAGAGAGAUAAGAAAUGGUACAGUUUGGAUAUGUGUCCCCACCCUAAUCUCAUGUUGGAUUUUAAUCCCCAGUGCUGGAGCUCUGCCCCCCCACCAGGUGUCUGGGUCACAGGGGUGGAUCCCUCAUGACUUGGUGCUGUCUUUGCGAUAGUGAGUUGUCACAAGAUCUGGUCAUUUAAAAGUGUGUGGCACCCGCCCCCUGCCACUCUCUCUCUCGCUCUUGCUUUCACCGUAUG